UAUGGCUAUUUUCCAGAUACGUUUUUAUUACAUUUACUACAUCUACAAUUUACAUUAUUUGAAUAUUUGAAUGCAUAGAUACAAUGAGAUAGACUGAUUGCAUGCGUUCAAAUCACUCAUAACUAACAUAAUCAGAAAUUAUAUAGUCAACUUUAUUCCGGAGGCGAAAUUCGGCGUAGUUUUUCAACCAAUCCCUCAACAAAUUGCAGCUCUUCUUUGCUGUACGAAGGGUGGCAUGACUGCAUAGCUUCCAACAAGAGCUCGCCCCGUUUGACAGCCUCUGGGGGGCAAGCCUCUUCCAUAGUCCUCAGGCUCUCUUCGAGAGAGAGAUCCUUUAAUUCUACACCCAGUUCAUCCGCCAUUGACUGCAGCGAUCUUUUUCUGUUUCUGCUGGAAGUCGAGUAUAGACUGUGCUACAAAGUGGAAGCAUGCGAUAAAGAAUUUAAAAUUGUUAUUCGCGAGUUAUUUGACGAAUUUUUAAACCUUUUUAUCGGACAACUACCAGGUUUGCGUGCCUUUUUUAACCCUACAAUAACCAACCUCCUUGUCGGGACCUCGCAAGCAUAUUAUCUGGAGCUGCAAAUGAUCAAACAGCGAGGGAAACAACUCCUCAAAAUUUCCGAAGAUCUGGACCUCCAAAUCCACGGAGGAUUUUGAUGCAAUAUGCAUUUAGCAUUAGCAGCUUUAGGCUCAAUUUCAACUUUAUCCCUCUAUAUGCAAAAUAUUUGCAAGCAUUUGAACCAUCAGUUGAGAUUCAGGACAAUCUUACGUUUUGGUCUGCAGACGUUUCCUCAAAAAUUAUUUUUUUCUCAAAGUGGUACCGCUAGAAAUUUUAUUUUAACACAGUUUAACAGACAUAACUGGACUUUAGGUUCACGAAAAAUGUCAACUUUAUCCCUGAAAAUGAAAAAUAUUGACCAGCAAAAUAUUGAUUUGCAGACGUAKYCUCAAAAACUAUUUUUGCCCAAAGUUGUACAGRUAGAAACUUGCUUUUCAGUCAGUUUAAUAGGCAAAACUUGGAUUUAGGCUUAGUAAAAAUUUCAACCUUAUCCCUCGAUAUGCCAAAUAUUUAGAAACAUUUGAACCAUCAGUUAAGAUUGAGGACAAUCUUACGGUUUGGUCUGCAGACGUUUCUUCAAAAAUUAUUUUUUCCCAAAGUUGUACCGCUAGAAAUUUUAUUUUAACACAGUUUAACAGACAAAACUAGGCUUUAGGUUUACGAAAAAUGUCAACUUUAUCCCUGAAUAUGCAAAAUAUUGACCAGUAAAAUAUUGAUUUGCAGACGUA